rnacentral:rRNA from 1 species
AUUGAACGCUGGCGGCAGGCCUAACACAUGCAAGUCGAGCGGAUGAAGGGAGCUUGCUCCUGGAUUCAGCGGCGGACGGGUGAGUAAUGCCUAGGAAUCUGCCUGGUAGUGGGGGAUAACGUCCGGAAACGGGCGCUAAUACCGCAUACGUCCUGAGGGAGAAAGUGGGGGAUCUUCGGACCUCACGCUAUCAGAUGAGCCUAGGUCGGAUUAGCUAGUUGGUGGGGUAAAGGCCUACCAAGGCGACGAUCCGUAACUGGUCUGAGAGGAUGAUCAGUCACACUGGAACUGAGACACGGUCCAGACCCCUACGGGAGGCAGCAGUGGGGAAUAUUGGACAAUGGGCGAAAGCCUGAUCCAGCCAUGCCGCGUGUGUGAAGAAGGUCUUCGGAUUGUAAAGCACUUUAAGUUGGGAGGAAGGGCAGUAAGUUAAUACCUUACUGUUUUGACGUUACCAACAGAAUAAGCACCGGCUAACUUCGUG